GAAAUGUUCUGUAUAUGUGGAUUGUGUUUAUAUGUUCAGGUAUGUGCUAUGGGAAUGAUUUAAUUGAUCUCUGCUCCAGGAUAAAGAGGGCACAGAUUAAGCAAUUGUAUUAACCCAAGGCACGAUCUUUAUAUGUGUAUGUGUUAUGUUUGUGUGGAAGUAUAUGGGGGUUUGAUAAUGGAAGAAAAACCAAUAAAUAUAUAUUUUUUUAAAUGCAGAUCUGAAAAGACGUUCAGGAAUGUAAGACACUGACAGGGUUAUUUACUAACUAAACCGUGAAUUAUCUGAAACUGUGAUCUUUGAACAAUCAUGGAAGCAGGGCAUAGCCUCUAGAAUGUAACCUCAUUUAGCAGGGCCUCCACCUCUCUGUCCCUGUACGUCCAUUUGUCUGGUGACAAUUACAUGUCUGUUAGUCCACCCAUUGUACAGCGCUACGGAAUCUGAUUGCGCUAUAUUAGGGGUGAUUAUUUCUGAUGACUUAAAGGUAGGCAGACAAUGUAAUAGAGCAGCAGGAAAUGCUAGCAGAAUGCUUGGUUGUAUAGGGAGAGGUAUUAGCAGUAGAAAGAGGGAAGUGCUCAUGCCAUUGUACAGAACACUGGUGAGACCUCACUUGGAGUAUUGUACACAGUACUGGAGACCGUAUCUUCAGAAGGAUAUUGAUACCUUAGAGAGGGUUCAGAGAAGGGCUACUAAACUGGUUCAUGGAUUGCGGGAUAAAACUUACCAGGAAAGGUUAAAGGAUCUUAACAUGUAUAGCUUGGAGGAAAGACGAGACAGGGGGGAUAUGAUAGAAACAUUUAAAUACAUAAAGGGUAUCAACACAGUAAAGGAGGAGACUAUAUUUAAAAGAAGAAAAACUACCACAACAAGAGGACAUAGUCUUAAAUUAGAGGGACAAAGGUUUAAAAAUAAUAUCAGGAAGUAUUACUUUACUGAGAGGGUAGUGGAUGCAUGGAAUAGCCUUCCAGCUGAAGUGGUAGAGGUUAACACAGUAAAGGAGUUUAAGCAUGCGUGGGAUAGGCAUAAGGCUAUUCUAACUAUAAGAUAAGGCCAGGGACUAAUGAAAGUAUUUAGAAAAUUGGGCAGACUAGAUGGGCCAAAUGGUUCUUAUCUGCCGUCACAUUCUGUUUCUAUGUUUCUAUAUAAAUAAUAAUAAUAAUAAUAAUAAUAAUAAUAGCAUGUAAAUUACAUUAACCUCCCCAGUACAGGACACACUGGUGCAUGGACACUCUGGAAUGUUAAACUUUAUGGACUCAUGCAGCAUUUCUGAACAGAUGGAAGGGGCCUGAUCAGCAUCUGAGCAGUAAUGUCAAUAUGAAACCCUCUGCAAAGACACAGGACUUGUACAGUGUGGCCUACAAUUUGUACAUCCCAG